AUGUGCCAUGUGGCACGCCAGGACCACAAAGCAGACCUAAUGUUCCGGCUCUAUGCACCUCCCCGAUCCAUAUUUCUGACCUCCACAGCCCCCACAAGGGCACACACUGCUCGUCGAACUCAAGCGCACGAACGCCAAGUACCGUGGCUGACGGCGACGGCGAAUAAGAUGGUGAGCAGCACCAACGAGGUGCGGAGGACGGUGCAGGAGAGGCCGGUGGUGGUGGUGGGGCGGCCGGAGUGCUGCCUGGCGGUCGUGGCCCGGCACCUGCUCCUGCGGCAGGGCGUGAACCCGACGGUGCUGGAGGUCAGCUACGACGCCGACCCGGCGGCGCUCGUCUACGCGCUCCGGUCCAAGGACGACAACACCAAGUUGGUCACCGACGUCGCCUUACCGGUGGUGUUCGUCGGAGGUAGGCUGUUGGGUGGGCUGGACCGACUCAUUACCAUGCACAUCGCCGAAGAGCUCGUGCCGCUCCUGAGGCAGGCAGGAGCCCUGUGGCUCUGA
rnacentral:rRNA from 1 species